GGUUGUGGCUCAGUGGCAGAGUGCUUGCCGAGCAUGCGUGAGGCCCUGGGUUCGAUCCCUGGCACCA
rnacentral:tRNA from 1 species